AAUCAACGCUGGCGGCGUGCCUAACACAUGCAAGUCGAACGCGAGAGGGGCUUCGGCCCCGAUUGAGUGGCGAACGGGUGAGUAACGCGUGGGUGACCUACCUUCGAGUGGGGGAUAACGUCCCGAAAGGGACGCUAAUACCGCAUAACAUCCUGCUUUUGAAUGGGUGGAGAUCAAAGCCGGGGAUCGCAAGACCUGGCGCUUGAUGAGGGGCCCGCGUCUGAUUAGCUAGUUGGGAGGUAACGGCCCACCAAGGCAACGAUCAGUAUCCGGCCUGAGAGGGCGGACGGACACACUGGGACUGAGACACGGCCAGACUCCUACGGGAGCAGCAGUGGGGAAUUGUUCGCAAUGGGCGCAAGCCUGACGACGCAACGCCGCGUGGAGGAUGAAGGUCUUCGGA
rnacentral:rRNA from 1 species